GAUGAACGCUGGCGGCGUGCUUAACACAUGCAAGUCGAACGAAGCACUUUGAUCGAUUUCUUCGGAUUGAAAUUUUAGUGACUGAGUGGCGGACGGGUGAGUAACGCGUGGGUAACCUGCCCCAGACCGGGGGAUAACAGUCGGAAACGACUGCUAAUACCGCAUAAACGCACAGUGCCGCAUGGCACGGUGUGAAAAACUCCGGUGGUGUGAGAUGGACCCGCGUCUGAUUAGCCAGUUGGCGGGGUAACGGCCCACCAAAGCGACGAUCAGUAGCCGGCCUGAGAGGGUGAACGGCCACAUUGGGACUGAGACACGGCCCAAACUCCUACGGGAGGCAGCAGUGGGGAAUAUUGCACAAUGGGGGAAACCCUGAUGCAGCGACGCCGCGUGAGUGAAGAAGUAUUUCGGUAUGUAAAGCUCUAUCAGCAGGGAAGAAAGUGACGGUACCUGAAUAAGAAGCCCCGGCUAACUACGUG
rnacentral:rRNA from 1 species